AUUGAACGCUGGCGGCAGGCUUAACACAUGCAAGUCGAGCGGGGGAAGGUAGCUUGCUACCGGACCUAGCGGCGGACGGGUGAGUAAUGCUUAGGAAUCUGCCUAUUAGUGGGGGACAACAUCUCGAAAGGGAUGCUAAUACCGCAUACGUCCUACGGGAGAAAGCAGGGGAUCUUCGGACCUUGCGCUAAUAGAUGAGCCUAAGUCGGAUUAGUUAGUUGGUGGGGUAAAGGCCUACCAAGGCGACGAUCUGUAGCGGGUCUGAUAGGAUGGUCCGCCACACUGGGGCUGAGACGCGGCCCAGACUCCUACGGGAGGCAGCAGUGGUGAAUAUUGGACAAUGGGGGGAACCCUGAUCCAGCCAUGCCGCGUGUGUGAAGAAGGCCUUAUGGUUGUAAAGCACUUUAAGCGAGGAGGAGGCUACUUUAGUUAAUACCUAGAGAUAGUGGACGUUACUCGCAGAAUAAGCACCGGCUAACUCUGUGCCAGCAGCCGCCGUAA
rnacentral:rRNA from 1 species